GAAGUGGUAGUUCAGUGGUAGAAUUCUUUCCUGCCACGCGGGAGGCCCGGGUUCGAUUCCCGGCCAAUGCA
rnacentral:tRNA from 1 species